CGCCUCUUGCAAAAUAUAAGAGGUCCAGCCUGCCCAGUGACUCUGUUCAACGGCCGCGGUAUCCUAACCGUGCGAAGGUAGCGUAAUCACUUGUUCUUUAAAUGAGGACUAGUAUGAAAGGCAUCACGAGGGUUAUACUGUCUCCUUUUUCUAAUUAGUGAAACUAAUCUCCCCGUGAAGAAGCGGGGAUUAUUUUAUAAGACGAGAAGACCCUAUGGAGCUUUAAAUUAGAUAACAAUUGCCACCUUAUUAUUAUUAACCCUGUAACAUCUAGCAAUAUGAUUAUUAAUUUUUGGUUGGGGUGACCGCGGAGCAUAACAUAACCUCCAUAUUGAAAGGAUUUACUCCUAAGCUAAAAGUAACAACUUUAAGCAUCAAUAAAUUGACAUUAAUUGACCCAAUAUAUUUGAUCAACGAACCAAGUUACCCUAGGGAUAACAGCGCAAUCUACUUUAAGAGCCCAUAUCGACAAGUAGGUUUACGACCUCGAUGUUGGAUCAGGGUAUCCUAGUGGUGCAGCCGCUACUAAUGGUUCGUUUGUUCAACGAUUAAAACCCU
rnacentral:rRNA from 1 species